rnacentral:rRNA from 1 species
CCUACGGGUGGCUGCAGUAGGGAAUCUUUCACAAUGGGCGAAAGCCUGAUGGAGCAACGCCGCGUGCAGGAUGAAGGCCUUCGGGUUGUAAACUGCUUUUAUAAGCGAGAAAUAUGAUGGUACCUUAUGAAUAAGGAUCGGCUCACUACGUGCCAGCAGCGGCGGUCAUACGUAGGCUCCGAGCAUUAUCCGGAGUGACUGGGUGUAAAGAGUUGCGUAGGUGGCAUAGUAAGUAGCUAGUGGAAUCUGGUGGCUCAACCAUUCAGACUAUUAGCUACACUGCUAAGCUCGAGACCGUUAGGGGUAACUGGAAUUUAUAGUGUAGGAGUGAAAUCCGUAGAUAUUAGAAGGAACACCGAUAGCGUAGGCAGGUUACUGGGACGGUUCUGACACUAAGGCACGAAAGCGUAGGGAGCAAACGGGAUUAGAUACCCGUGUAGUC